rnacentral:rRNA from 1 species
GACGUAGGGCGCGAGCGUUGUCCGGAUUUAUUGGGCGUAAAGAGCUCGUAGGCGGCUUGUUGCGUCAGCUGUGAAAACCCGCAGCUCAACUGUGGGCUUGCAGCUGAUACGGGCAGGCUUGAGUUCGGUAGGGGAGACUGGAAUUCCUGGUGUAGCGGUGAAAUGCGUAGAUAUCAGGAGGAAUACCGGUGUGUAAGAGGCUUCUGG